rnacentral:misc_RNA from 1 species
AGAUCGUCCUUUAGGUCGAGCAACCGUAGUACGGCAAGCUCGGCAAGCUCGCGAUGCGAUGACGGCGUGCGGUCGAGCCUUUCGUGAAACUCUCUGACGUUUGUUGGCGUCCAUGGCUGCAGGUCAGCGUCUUGUUCUGCUUUUCGUCUAGCUAGCAUUUCCAAGUACGAGUAGGACUGGCUUUGGCGACUCGCGAGGGCCAUUUGCUCCAACGCUAGGAAAGCUUCUUUG